rnacentral:lncRNA from 1 species
GGUAGCUGCUUCCGGUAGUUCGGGGCGGGUUUGGCGCAUGCCAGAAUUCCCAGUACAGAACCUUACGGCGUGAAGCGCCGUGAGCGAGCCGGUUCUUCCGCCACAGAACACCAGGCCUUUCUCGAGACCUCUGACCUUUCACUGGGCGAGACGGCCGCGAGUCCCACGCAUGCUCAGUACUUCCGUGUGGGCCUUGGCGCUCAGUGAACAGUCUGCUUCCGGUGACCCACCAAGCACCUGGGGUUGCUGGGUAUCGUGAACAUCAGUGCAGCAGUUCUGGUCACCUGGAUUUAUAAACACCAAGAAGUAGCAACAGCCAGUGUGCAAGUCACUGACAACCCAAGUCACCAAAAAUCUUACUGAGAACCCAUUAGCUCCUUGAAUUAAAGAUUAUUUUGUGAAAAGAGGCUUGAUCGUCUUGUUCUGCACCUGAAAUAAAGCAUUUCCCAUUCUGUUGUUUUAAAAUAUUUACUCUGUAACAAGUGUACAUAAUUUUGUUUUUAUAAUAAAAAAGUAGUGAUACCAAAA